CUAAGUGGGAUUAUACUGGGUUGUUGUUGUUGUUGUCUGUCUCCAAUGUAAUCCUUUGAAAUAUAAUAACAUUGAGUGCUAGAUGAUUGAUGACUAGAGUAGUUGUCGAUUGACCAUGAGUUCAUGUUAGAGAGUAGAAUGACCUAUACUGGAGGCAGAAAGAGAGCAGGAAUUCCAGGAUAAUAUGUCGAAUGAUGUCCUCAAACUUUAGUAAGUCAAUUGGCACACCGUUCAUAUGGGUUGUGUCAUGAUGUGGGUUACGAAGAUGUGCUACUAGUUGGUCUUUUGGAGAGUGUGUUUGAGGUUGAACAACAAAGUCAGCCAAAUCUAUGCUGUUGGGUAUAGACUAGCUCAAAAAUCUCCUCUUGUUUUUAGCAGGUUUAGUUAUUUUUAACACCACUUGGGAAGUGUUUCGGUAUUACCAAACAAAAUUUCCUCUGGUUUUUAGCAGGUUUAGUGAUUUUUAACGCCACUUGGGAAGUGUUUCGGUAUUACCAAAAUUAAGGCGUAUUCAACUUCCAGUUAAACUUGCUAUUCCGUUUUUCUUGAAAAUAGUGGCUUCUGCUCCCCUAACUUGAAGGAUCAGAUAUUGUUUUCGCAGAUGUUCCAAAAUGAAGCCUAUAAAUUUUCCUUCUCUGUACUUCAUUAAGCUUCAUUUUGAAAUUUUUUGUAAUAAAU
rnacentral:lncRNA from 1 species